UGCUAUUGGAGCUGGCGUAUCAAAAUCAGGUUCUCCAGCAGCCAAUCGAAUAACAGGAACUCCAGCUUCUAAAAGAGCAGUGGCAUGGUCCAUUAUGGCCACAGUCUUAGAAGGUUUUACAGAAUUCACUCUGGGGCUCAAAGAAAUAUCGAGUUCCAUCUCUUCAGUGCCACUUUCUGGCUUCACAACUGCACUUAUACUAGAUGACCGUACUUGUCUAGUGGCAUCCAGUGGUUUGAAGCAUCGUUGGCAAGGGCGAGAAGGGAAGGAUACGGAUCCGGAACUGUAAGAACCCAAAUCGAGUCCGAUAGAUUGAUUCCCCAAACGCAAACAAGAAAUGCCUGAUGGGGAAGUUUGGAGAGAAGCAGCAGCCAUAAGCUAAAAGAAAGAGCUUUUC
rnacentral:misc_RNA from 1 species